rnacentral:rRNA from 1 species
GACGAACGCUGGCGGCGUGCCUAAUACAUGCAAGUCGAACGCAGUGGGGACGGUUGAGUAACACGUGGCUAACCUCCCAUCAGAGGGGAUAACACUUGGAAACAGGCGCUAAACCGAUUCUGUUGGAUGAACCCGCGGUGCAUGAGCUAGAUGGGGAGGUAACGGCUCACCAGGGCCACGAUGCAUAGCCGACCUGGGGGGGUGAUCGGCCACACUGGGACUGAGGCACGGCCCAGACUCCUACGGGAGGCAGCAGUAGGGAAUCUGGGGAAAUGGACGAAAGUCUGACCGAGCAACGCCGCGUGAGUGAGGAGGGUUUUCGGAUCGUAAAAUUCUGUUGUUAGAGAGGCGGUAUCUAACCAGAAAGCCACGGCUAACUACGUGCCAGCAGCCGCGGUAAUAC